CUACUUGAAUUUGGGUUUUUAACUUAGGUUUGGGUGGCGGACGGGUGAGUAACGCGUAAAGAACUUGCCUCACAGCUAGGGACAACAUUUAGAAAUGAAUGCUAAUACCUAAUAUUAUGAUAAUAGGGCAUCCUAUAAUUAUGAAAGCUAUAUGCGCUGUGAGAGAGCUUUGCGUCCCAUUAGCUAGUUGGUGAGGUAACGGCUCACCAAGGCGAUGAUGGGUAGCCGGCCUGAGAGGGUGAACGGCCACAAGGGGACUGAGACACGGCCCUUACUCCUACGGGAGGCAGCAGUGGGGAAUAUUGGACAAUGGACCAAAAGUCUGAUCCAGCAAUUCUGUGUGCACGAUGACGUUUUUCGGAAUGUAAAGUGCUUUCAGUUGGGAAGAAAAAAAAUGACGGUACCAACAGAAGAAGUGACGGCUAAAUACGUGCCAGCAGCCGCGGUAAUACGUAUGUCACAAGCGUUAUCCGGAUUUAUUGGGCGUAAAGCGCGUCUAGGUGGUUAUGUAAGUCUGAUGUGAAAAUGCAGGGCUCAACUCUGUAUUGCGUUGGAAACUGUGUAACUAGAGUACUGGAGAGGUAAGCGGAACUACAAGUGUAGAGGUGAAAUUCGUAGAUAUUUGUAGGAAUGCCGAUGGGGAAGCCAGCUUACUGGACAGAUACUGACGCUAAAGCGCGAAAGCGUGGGUAGCAAACAGGAUUAGAUACCCUGGUAGUCCACGCCGUAAACGAUGAUUACUAGGUGUUGGUGGGUACGACCCAUCGGUGCCGCAGCAAACGCAAUAAGUAAUCCACCUGGGGAGUACGUUCGCAAGAAUGAAACUCAAAGGAAUUGACGGGGACC
rnacentral:rRNA from 1 species